AUUAUGACUACAAAAUCACAUCCUACAUUCCAAGGAGUGGAGAUCAGACAGUAUAGGCAAAGAUAUCUAAUGGGUUUAAUCAUGGGCUAAAGAUGUACCUGCCACCUGGCCCACAAGACAAUAAAAUUUACUAUAUUUAUGAGUUAUGUGGACAGUAAAAUUCUAACAAAGACCGUUUAAAUUUAACGGAAUGGAAAAAAUACCAAAACAUCAAGAUGUAAUGAGAAUUUUUACAAGAAGGCUUCAGGAAGGAGUUUCAAAAGAGACUAAGAUGCUGAAAACGUUAAUCAAAUAAUUUCUGUCACAGAAAGGUAAUUGGUAA
rnacentral:misc_RNA from 1 species